CUCACUGCAGGUUGAGCGGCUGCUCUAGGGCCAGGGAGUGCUGGUGGGAGCUUUGCUGUGGGGUGGGCAAGCUGUGCCUGGUUCUGCAGAGGCAGUUGGGAGCACCCCCAGGUGUUGUGAAGGGAAAAGGACAGGGUACUCACGGAGGGUAAAGGAGUUGGACAUGUAUAUGUUGGAUUCCGAGUGUGAGGGAUGGACAGGUUCACACAGGAUCUGAGUGUGAGUGUGGGGGAUGGACAGGUUCACACAGGAUCUGAGUGUGAGUGUGGGGGAUGGACAGGUUCACACAGGAUCUGAGUGUGAGUGUGGGGGAUGGACAGGUUCACACAGGAUCUGAGUGUGAGUGUGGGGGAUGGACAGGUUCACACAGGAUCUGAGUGUGAGUGUGAGGGAUGGACAGGUUCACACAGGAUCUGAGUGUGAGUGUGGGGGAUGGACAGGUUCACACAGGAUCUGAGUGUGAGUGUGGGGGAUGGACAGGUUCACACAGGAUCUGAGUGUGAGUGUGGGGGAUGGACAGGUUCACACAGGAUCUGAGUGUGAGUGUGGGGGAUGGACAGGUUCACACAGGAUCUGAGUGUGAGUGUGAGGGAUGGACAGGUUCACACAGGAUCUGAGUGUGAGUGUGGGGGAUGGACAGGUUCACACAGGAUCUGAGUGUGAGUGUGGGGGAUGGACAGGUUCACACAGGAUCUGAGUGUGAGUGUGGGGGAUGGACAGGUUCACACAGGAUCUGAGUGUGAGUGUGAGGGAUGGACAGGUUCACACAGGAUCUGAGUGUGAGUGUGGGGGAUGGACAGGUUCACACAGGAUCUGAGUGUGAGUGUGAGGCGUGAACAGGUUCACACAGGAUCUGAGUGUGAGUGUGGGGGAUGGACAGGUUCACACAGGAUCUGAGUGUGAGUGUGGGGGAUGGACAGGUUCACACAGGAUCUGAGUGUGAGUGUGAGGCGUGGACAGGUUCACACAGGAUCUGAGUGUGAGUGUGGGGGAUGGGCAGGUUCACACUGGUUCUGCCUGUGAAGGGAAUGGACAGAUUUGAACAUGUUUACACAGGCUCUGGGUAUGAGGGUGGACAGGUUUACACAGGCCUGGGUGUAGGGGUGGACUGGUUUAUACAGGCUGUGGGUGUGACGGUGGACAGGUUCACACAGGCUGUGGGUGUAGGGGUGGACAGGUUUACACAGGUUCUGAGUGUGAGGGGUGGACACACUUAGGGCUCUCAGUGAAUGCACAGGUUUAUACUUAGCCCUGUGUAUGCAGGAAUGGGCAGGUUCACACAGGUUCUGAGUGUGAGGGGUGGACAGAUGUGCCCGCACUACUGAGUAUUAGAAGAUGUAUGGGUGGCCGGCGCCGUAGCUCACUAGGCUAAUCCUCCGCCUGCAGCGCCGGCACACCGGCUUCUAGUCCCGGUCGGGGCGCCAGAUUCUGUCCCGGUUGCCCCUCUUCCAGGCCAGCUCUCUGCUGUGGCCCGGGAGUGCAGUGGAGGAUGGCCCAGGUCCUUGGGCCCUGCACCCACAUGGGAGACCAGGAGAAGCACCUGGCUCCUGGAUUCAGAUCUGCGCAGCGCGCCGGCCACAGCAGCCAUUGGAGAGUGAACCAACGGCAAAAGGAAGACCUUUCUCUCUCUCUCUCUCUCUCUCACUGUCCACUCUGCCUGUCAAAAAAAAAAGAAGAUGUAUGGGUGUACUCAGGGCUCCAAGUGUAAGGGUGAUGGCCAGGGGUGCACAGGUCUGGGUGUGAGUGGAUCAACAGGUUUACACAGGGCUCUGAGUGUGAGGAUUGUUUUAGGUUUUAUCUGGGCUCUGAGUGUGAUGGGAUAGACAGGUUUCAGAGGCUACUGAAUCU